rnacentral:ncRNA from 1 species
GUUAUAAUAUAAAUUGAGGUAUAAUUAGUGUUUAAUUGGUCAAUAAUAAAUAUAUAUUAUAAGUAGGUAAUUUGGCUUUGGUUAUUAUAUAAAUUGUUACUAGGGUUAUAUAUGUUAGGUUUAAGGUUUAUAACGUACUAUCUUUAAGUGUAGCUAGUUUUAGUUGUUUAAUAUAAUAGAAUUAGGGACAUAUUUUAUUAAUAUUUUAUUGGAAUGAAUUUUAAAGAUUACGCAGUAUUUAUUAUUAUACAAUAAAUGAAAGUUUGAUAUAGUUAAUGUAAAUUAUAGAUGGAUUAAUUUGUGCCAGCAUCUGCGGUUAUACAAAUGUCUUAAAUUUAUAUAAAUUAGUAUAAAAAAAAGUGAAGUGAGUAGUUAAUUAGAAUAGUUGAGAAUAACAAUUGUAGGUAAAAUUUUUUUUAAAUUGUUAUUAUUAACUGAGUUGUUCUAUAAUUAAAACUUUGAAAAUAAGGUUGCUUGAAACUAGGAUUAGAUACCCUAUUAUUCUUUAUUUUAAAUUUUUUUUACUUAAGUAGUGUAAAUAGUAGUAAUAUAAUGUAUUUGAAACUUAAAAAGCUUGGCGGUGUUAUAUAUCCAUUUAGGGGAGCUUGUUUAUUAAUUUGAUAAUCCUCAAUUAACUCUUACUUUUUCUUGAAUAUGCUUAUAUACAGUUUGUGUAUUGCUGUCAUCAGUUUAUUUCGUAAGAUUGUUAAAGGACUUGAAAGUAAAAAUUACUAAAAUGUCAAGUCAAAAUGCAGCUAAUGAAGAAGGUUUAGAUGAAAAUGAGCUACAAUUUAUAAUUUUUAAUUGGAUUGAGUUAUGCAAUAGUUUAUGAAUUUGGACUUAAUAGUAAUAUAAAUAAGUAGUAUGUUUAUAUGAAUUUUUUUUGGUUUUAUAGCGCGUACAUAUCGCCCGUCGCUCUUGUUGAUAAAAUAAGAUAAGUCGUAACAUAGUAGGGGUAGUGGAAACUGCCCCUGGGUUAAUAAA